AGCAGCCAGAAUAACAACAACAACAACACGGUCGCCAGUCGACGCCCUUGUUUUUGUUGUCGCGUGUGUCGUCGCAGUUCUGUCUGUCUGUUGUCUGUCCAUAUUCCUAAUGGGGCAAUGCAAUCUAUUCCUGUGGUCGAGCGCUGAGUUUAAUAACCAAUAUAUUAAAGUGCAUACGGAAGAGAAAAAAUAAGAGAGAGACUUUUGGUUCGCUUGCCCCCGCAAAGCGCAAGGCGCUCACCACCCCCCCGCCAAAAUACGCUUUCUCUCUUGCCCACUGCUAAACGCUGCAAUGCGUUUAUCAUUCUACGCAAGGUAUUUUCAAGUGGAAGGUGGAACCAGUCCCAGCUUUGGGAGGCCGCUCUGCCCCACUGCCAUACAGCCGCACAACGAAACAGGUAACGGUAGUGGUACCGCCAACGAGGACAGUACCGCGGAGUUCGGGCAGCCCAACGCAGCCUCCUCGCCCAACGGCAGCGGCUACCACAACAACUACAACCUAAAUGGGAGCAGUGGGCUAGCCGGAAACGGCAGUGGCAAUGGCAACGGCAACGGCAACGGCAGCUCCAACAUCAACGGCGGGGGCUACAGCGUGAACAGCCUGCCGCGGAACGGGGCCCAUCUGGGGCAUCUGCAGGCGGGUGAGGGCAUGGACGUGCUGGACGAUCCUGGGCGCAGCAAAAAACGACCCCGCAUGGGCAUUGGCUCCGCCAUCACCGACCAUUCACGACGCUCUUCAAUUUCAGAAUCCUCGGCCAUCUCAGGUUUCUCCUCGGCCAGCAAUAAGACCUACGUACACGAGGCCUCCACCUUGGUCCUGGAGACCAUCGAGAACGGCGUGAAGCGCCACUUUAUUGUGCCUUUGGCCAUUGCCCAGAGACCGCGCUGGCGCCGCAAGGGCACCAAGCUGCACAUCUACAACGAUCACACCUUCAUAGCCAAGCAUUUGAGCGGAAGCGGCUUGCAGUGCUCGAUCUGCAUGAAGUCCAUACCUCGGAGGCCGGGCAAGCAGGGAUACGAGUGCCGCGACUGCCAGCUGAUCUGUCACAAGCAGUGUCACAUACGGGCGCCCCAGGCCUGUCCCAAUCCCACGGUGCUCUCCAUGGAACUAAACUCCUAUCCGGAUGGCCAGUGAGCAGUAGGCUUAAGUGCAGCAAAAUCAACUUAAAACUUAACAAUAUUCAAACUAGUUUGACGGCGGCAGCGGCCGACAUUUAAGAAAACAAAAAAAUGCUCCUUCUUCUGAAAACUCCUCCAUCCGUCCUUCGAAACAGCCUCAGUUCUAGAUUCGUUCGGCUUUAGGAGAGAGUUCGAGAGUUAUCCACUCCUUAGGCGGAACCAAACUUAACUCGGCUGCGGCGGAUCGGAGUAUACGGAAACUGUAAAGAUGCCCCCAAUCCAUCGUCCAUCCCAGCUCCGACGCCGGGGACACUUAAUCGAAUUAUUAUGCUUAGAAGGAGGAACACCGGGACACUUCGGCUAUCGAAAUCUUUGAUACAUUAUGUUAUUUAUUUAUACACACACACAUACACCCACGUGCAAUAAGUUCUUUGGUUUCGUUUUUAACCUUUCUCUGUGUCAACAAGUAGACCCCUUUGAUAUUUUGUAUUUUCUACAAACACGAAUAAUAAUUGUACAAAAUAAGAGCGAACUAAGAAUUUUUCAAUUAAAAUUACUGGUAAAAGUA